AUUGAACGCUGGCGGAAUGCUUUACACAUGCAAGUCGAACGGUAGAGGGGGCAACCCCUUGAGAGUGGCGAACGGGUGAGUAAUAUAUCGGAACGUGCCCAGUCGUGGGGAUAACGUAGCGAAAGUUACGCUAAUACCGCAUACGAUCUAAGGAUGAAAGCGGGGGAUCGCAAGACCUCGCGCGAUUGGAGCGGCCGAUAUCAGAUUAGGUAGUUGGUGAGGUAAAGGCUCACCAAGCCAACGAUCUGUAGCUGGUCUGAGAGGACGACCAGCCACACUGGAACUGAGACACGGUCCAGACUCCUACGGGAGGCAGCAGUGGGGAAUUUUGGACAAUGGACGCAAGUCUGAUCCAGCCAUUCCGCGUGCAGGAUGAAGGCCCUCGGGUUGUAAAC
rnacentral:rRNA from 1 species